ACUCCUACGGGAGGCAGCAGUGGGGGAAUAUUGCACAAUGGGGGGAAACCCUGAUGCAGCCAUGCCGCGUGUGUGAAGAAGGCCUUCGGGUUGUAAAGCACUUUCAGUAGGGAGGAAGGUAGUGUAGUUAACACCUGCAUUAUUUGACGUUACCUACAGAAGAAGCACCGGCUAACUCCGUGCCAGCAGCCGCGGUAAUACGGAGGGUGCGAGCGUUAAUCGGGAAUUACUGGGCGUAAAGCGCAUGCAGGCGGCCUGUUAAGUCAGAUGUGAAAGCCCGGGGCUUAACCGUCGGAAUUGCAUUUGAAACUGGCAGGCUAGAGUCUUGUAGAGGGGUUAGAAUUUCAGGUGUAGCGGUGAAAUGCGUAGAGAUCUGAAGGAAUACCGAGUGGCGAAGGCGGCCCCCGUGGACAAAGACGUGACGCUCAGAUGCGAAAGCGUGGGAGCAAACAGGAUUACGAUA
rnacentral:rRNA from 1 species